GCACUCUUGAUCGGUACACACAUUAAAAUUGAGGUGACAGAGAUUAGCAUGACCCUGGGCAAGAAUGACAUGCCAAUCUGUGAAGCCACUCAUAUCCUUUUUUA
ensembl:snRNA predicted gene, 27385